GGGUUAGCUACCUAUCACUAUCUAUUCAAUUAUAUUGAUAUCUAUUCAUAUCAACCUCAUUAUCAGCAAAGAUAUUUAUUUGAUUAUAUUUAUCUAUUCGAUCUCACUGAUCUUCUCAUCAGCGACGAUUGCGGCAUUAUCUAUAUUUUGAUAUUCAAUCUCAUUGACCUUCUUAUUGGUGAUGAUUGCGGCAAUAUCUAUAUUCAUUUGAUUCUAUAUUGAUUAUCUGUUCGAUUCUAUAUCGGUUUUACAUCUAUAUACAAUGACCAAGAUGUCAGUGGAAAAUUCCUCAUCAAAAACAUCACUUUUCUUGAAUUUCUCUAGAAAAUGAAAUCUAUGAUACAAUAUGAUACUAGAUCUUGCCACUGAGCUUCAAGUACUGAAUCUUAUUAGUGAUGAAAGUCUCAAUAGAAUGAGUGAAAUAUCUGCAUCUAUUCCCUCAGAAUUUCCUACUGAGCACAUCAUGAAAGCAAGAGUUAAA
rnacentral:sRNA from 1 species